rnacentral:rRNA from 1 species
GACGAACGCUGGCGGCGUGCUUAACACAUGCAAGUCGAACGGUAAGGCCCUUCUUUUGUGGUGUGCUCGAGUGGCGAACGUGUGAGUAACACGUGAUUAACCUGCCCUUGACUUUGGUAUAACUUCAUGAAGCUGGGGCUAGUUCCUCAUAGCAUCUCCUGCUGCAUGUUGUGGGUUGGAUUUCUUCGUCGGCUGGGGAUGGGCUCCCGUCUUAUUAGCUUGUUGGUGGGGUAGUGGCUUACCAAGGCGUUGUCGGGGAGCCGGCCUGAGAGGGGGACCGGCAAAAGUGGGACUGAGAAACGGCCCAGACGACGACGGGAGGAAGCAGGGGGGAAUAGUGCGCAAUGGGCGGAAGACGGACGCAGCGACGCCGCGUGGGGGAUGACGGACUUAGGGUGGGAAACCGCUUGCAGCAGGGACGAAGCGCAAGUGACGGUAGCUGCAGAAGAAGCACAGGCCAACUAAGUG